UUGAAUUUUACAGGCAAAUGGAAGGCACUAGAAGAAACCAUACUGAGUGAGGGUCACUCUACACAGACCUGGCUGUCCCGGAACUCACUCUGUAGACCACACUGGAAGAGAUCCACUUGCCUCUGCCUCCUGAGUGCUGGGAUUGAGGGUAUGCAACCACCAUACCUGAAAACCUGGCGAUUUUCAGUUUCUUUAAAUUGUAAGACCUUCCAGCUGAAGACACCAUAUGCCUUGGCCACAAGACCUAGAGAAAUCAUGCUAAAACUGGACUGGAAGUUCUUUCCCUGCCAGAUAGCCCUCACGGUGCUGGAAGAUGCUCUGCAGGCUGCCGGGAGAUCAUUGACAUCAACCGUGUUAUUCAGCUAUAGGCGCUGCAUGCAACAAGGCCAACCAGCCAGACACAAUGAGUGUAGUGGCACAGCAGCUGCAAUUGUAACUGAGGUGGCCGCUGCUAUCAGCUUUGGUGUGAGAAGCUUCGUUUUGCAGAGGUCAGCAGUGACAGCAGAAGACCCAUAAAUGGUCAAAGCACUUAGAAUAAAUGACUGUCAAGUACUCAGCUAUAAAAUGGAUGUCUGUAUCUUACUCCACCCCCUAAGGCUCUGAGAAGAAAAAGUGGAAAGAAUAUAAGAGCCAAAAGGAGGAGUAAUAUCAGUGUUGCACGCUGGUUUCCAGGCAUGCAACCUUGAACUCACAGCCUUGAAAUCUCAAAUGUAUGAGAUUGACUGCACAAGACUUGAACAAGGCUGGGCCCACCAUGGUACGGUGCCCACCGCCCUGUAAAAACUGAUGAAAUCACUGGGUCACACAUAAGAAAAGGACAUGAAAGGAGCAGUGGGUUGGGGUGUGAAGAGAUAGGGGAGUAGCAGGAGUGAGAGCAAGACAGAAGGAGGUAAUGGGAGGGGGCGAGUAUGAUUGAAGUAUACACAUGGAUAGAGAUGCUUUAAUGAAGCCCAUUGUGCAUAAAAAUGCAUGCAAAUAACAUCUGUAAAACAAUUAUGAUUGUUGCGAAAACACCUUUUUUAAAAAGUGACAUCAGAGUCACUGCUUCUCUGAGAAGCCUUCUCAUGGGGCGUGUCCCUAGAGUUUCUUUUGAGAUGCUCAUAAAACACAGUGGAUGAUGCUUGUGACUGUGGGGCUUGCACUCUGUUAGACUCCUAUUCCGAGCUUCUCCCUCUGUGGCUCACUUUUGCUGUCUGUAGAAAUGGGGAUAAUUGCACCUCCUCAUAGUGGUAACAGCAAGAUUACCAGAAGACAGUUUGUCAGGGACCUAGCCUUAGAAAACAGUUAGGAUGGAAUGCCUCUGAGUUGGACCCUCUUCCCCUUUUCCAUCAACCUGUCAGGGCUGAAGAGAUGGCUCCGUGGUUAAACAACAAUUACUGCUGUUACAGUAGAUCUGUGAUUGGCUCCCAGAAUCCACAUGGCAACUCAAAACUGUCUGUAACUUCAGAUCCAGGGGGAUCUAACACCCUCUUC